rnacentral:rRNA from 1 species
GGGGAAUAUUGGCCAAUGGAGGCAACUCUGACCCAGCAACGCCGCGUGAAUGAUGAAGGUCUUCGGAUUGUAAAGUUCUUUUCUAAGGGAAGAAGAAAGUGACGGUACCUUAGGAAUAAGCCUCGGCUAACUAC